UACUCUCCAACAUAUUGAGGAACCGCAAGGUUUAAAGGGGAACCAGAUUUAAAGUCUGGGCUGUACCCGCAACUGUAACUGAGUAUCCCGUGGCACUAGAUAAGCUAAGGGGAUUCAGGAGCCAGGAUACCCGCCUCAUCUAGUUAGCUGGA
rnacentral:ncRNA from 2 species